rnacentral:lncRNA from 1 species
ACCUAGCCCAGUUUCCACUGUGAAGAAAUCAUAACCUUGAGUUCAGUGUCUAAUCCUGGAAUGAAGUGUCAGCAUUCCCAGAAAUAUUACAAAUUGCCAUUACCAAAGUAAAUCUACUCAAACAAUCUUUGUCUAUGUGGGAAUUCAGAAGCUGAAGCUUUGUGGCUUGCAUGGCAAGGCUGUAGCUGUUAAAAUGAACCGUUACUAAUUGAUAGGGGCUUCAAAAUGAAGUUAUAUGGUAUUUGAGAUCCCGUUUUGAUCUUUUUUACUUUCACAUAUGUGCCCUUCUAUAUCCUGUGGAUCUUCUAUGUGGCUCGGUGGGUACAUGCUCCACAUGGUAUUCUGCCUUUCUGAUGUUUAAAUACAGCACAUAGGCUCUUACACAUGGUGUAGGAUCUGCCCUUUGAUGGACAUAUAAUCAAGCAGGAAUUUGAAAUAUGGCCAAGACUUUGCUUUUAUUUCUUGACUAUUGGACAUCAGUGUGAAUUUAGCCUGUAGAAUUUAUUCUUUUAUUGUACUAGAUAAACUGAAAUAAGUGGGAAAGUCCUUUUUUUUUUUUUAAUUUAUUUUUGUUUGUUUGUUUAAAUUGUCUUUCUCAGUCAGUUCCAUAAAGUGUAGUAUAAGUUAUCAGUGCUUAAACAUAUUUAAUAUUAUCAAUAUAAGAGAUGAUUAGGAACUAUUUUAUUGUCAUGAAAGAACUGAUAUGUGUUUCCUUUUUUCUUUUAGUCUUAUUACUCAGUGCCAUUAUACACACAUGAGCACGCUUCCUUUAACUCAAUUCUGGAUCUACAUGAGGUCGCUCAAAUGGCCUUGGCUCCUUUUGCAAUUUCUUAGCACCCAAAAGAAUUUCAGAAGAACUCGUGUUCUGGCUCUAAAUGUACAAGGUCAGAAGGUUCUGAGGAGAAAUUUUAUGGAGUUUCAGUAACACUGCAGUUCAUGUUAUGCUGCUUGUGACCACCAGACAAGUAAUAUAUUGAGUCUGUUAUUCAAAAUCAAGAAUUCCUAAAAUACAUCUAUAAGAAAUGUUAUUAAAAAUAUAUCUAAGCCUGAAAUCAUUUGCAUAGAAUGUCACGGUAUCAGAUUUUUUAAAAGCAGACAUUAAAUAUCAGUGUAUGCUUUACAAAUGUUGUGAAUGUCAUACCACUACUGUCUCUUUUUUUCUCAAGUAGCUGAAGAUAUUGCAGGGAACAAUUCACAGAACUGCUGUAUAUCAGAGAACUGCACCAUCACAGAGCAUGUCCAGCAUCUGACUGUUGUCAUUUUGUACUCUAGAGCUGCUGGAGGUUUAUGCCCAGUUUGUUUUUGAUGGCCUUUGUCUAACCUCCACCAUGAUCUUCAGUCCAUACUCUAUUUAACCCUUCUGUAAGCUAUGUGGUCCAUGCAUUCCAAACCCAUACCUGAUGCAGAAUUACAGCCAAUACAG